rnacentral:rRNA from 1 species
UGGGGAAUAUUGGGCAAUGGAGGCAACUCUGACCCAGCAACGCCGCGUGAGGGAAGAAGGUUUUCGGAUUGUAAACCUCUGUCCUAGGGGACGAAGAAAGUGACGGUACCCUAGGAGGAAGCCCCGGCUAACUACGUGCCAGCAGCCGCGGUAAUACGUAGGGGGCGAGCGUUGUCCGGAAUUACUGGGCGUAAAGGGUGCGUAGGCGGUUUGGUAAGUUAGAUGUGAAAUCCCCGGGCUUAACUCGGGAGUUGCAUUUAAAACUGCUGAACUAGAGUGCAGGAGAGGAAAGCGGAAUUCCUAGUGUAGCGGUGAAAUGCGUAGAUAUUAGGAGGAACACCAGUGGCGAAGGCGGCUUUCUGGACUGUAACUGACACUGAGGCACGAAAGCGUGGGGAGCAAACA